rnacentral:sRNA from 1 species
AAACAAGAACUUAAUGAUAGGCACCAAUGUGUAACAAUGAACCUUAUAUUAUUGAAAUCUUUGAAACCAGCUGAUUUUGGGGGGGAGGCAUAUCAAAAUGACUGAGAUUUAUACAAUAAUAUCACCCACCUCCCUGCACAUCUUCUUGUGCAAUACCAGCCCCAUCCCUGAGACAGGAUGGGGAGGGUCAAAGUAAAUGGGUGUAGCCAAAUUAUUAGGCACUGUUCACCAGGGCUACCUUCAUCUCUGGCAAAGUAGAUAUUGUUGCCAUCAAUGACCACUUCUUUGAGCUCAGUUAUAUGGUCUAUGUGUUCCAUUAUAAUUCCACCCACUGCGAGUUCCAUGGGACAAUGCCAAAAAACUUGUCAUCAAUGGGAUGUUGUAGAUUCUUCUGGUAUCUUUACUACCAUGGAGCAGGCCAGGGCUCAGUUGAAGGGUGGAGUUGAAAGGAUCACUGUGUUUGCUCUUCUGCUGAUAUCGUCACAUUUGUGAUAGUUAUGGACUAUGAGAAAAAACCUGCACCAACUGUUUAGCUCCCUGGCCAAGGUCAUUCAUAACAAUUUCAGCAUUGUCAAGGUACUUAUGACCACACUACAUGCCAUCAGUGCCAUGCAGAAGAUGGUGGAUGUCUCUCUGGGGCUGUCAGAAUACCAUUCCUAUAUCUACUGGUGCUGCCAAGGCUGUGGGCAAGGUUCUUCCAGAACUGAAGUUUACUGUCAUGACCUUCGGUGUUCUCACUCCAAUAUGUAUGUCAUGAGUCUGACUUGCUGCCUGGAGAAAGCUACAUAUAGUAGCAUCAAGAAGGUGGUAAAAUAGGCAUCGGAUGGACCCCUAACAGGCAUUCUGGGCUCUAGUGAGGACCAGGUUGUCUCUUGGGACCUUAACCUAACCCAGUCUUCUACUUUGAUACUGAGGCUGGCACUGCCUUUAAUGACCAUUUUGUCAAGCUCAUUUUCUAGUAUGACAAUGAAUAUGGGCAUGGCAAUAGGAAGGAUGGUGGGGCUCAUGUUCCACAUGGCCUCUGUGAAGUAAGAAACCUGGGGACUAUCUAUCCCAGCAAGAAUGUGAAAAAAUGGAGUCUUAGGCUGUUUGGGCAGAGAGAGGCAGAUCCCUGGAGUCCUCUAGCUAUCUAGCCUAAUCGAAUUAGCAAGCUAUAGCUCCCAGUGUGAGAACUUUUCUUGAAAGUUAGGCUAGAGAGCUCCUGAGAAAUGAUCCCCAAGGUUGACUUCUAAUCUCAACUCCAGUACCAGAGCAGGAAAUCAAGGCAGGGGUACUCACUGUAAUAUUGAUGUUCUUCAGUGACACUCAGAAAUAUCAGUUUCAACCAAUAUUGUUCUUCAUGAAACAUUGCUAACUCUUAAAUUAUUAACUCUCAGUUUUUUUUUUUUCUUUUUUCGGAGCUGGGGACCGAACCCAGAACUCUCAGUUUUGGAAGGGGAUUUGGAAGUUGUAUUGCGGAUGAAGCUCAGAGCUUAUGUAUACAGGGUGGCCCAGCAGGGAUCCCCUUGUGACUGAAGUCAGAGUUUGCACAGACUCCUAAGAGGUUUUCCGAUUUCUCACUGCCCUGGUGGUCAGAGGAGGGAAUUAAGCAAAGGAAAAUGACCAGCUGAGCUUUUUGGAAGUCCAAAGGAACAAUGGCACACGCUCUCUCGCAGUCCUGUUGUAGAGUCAGAUGGCCAGGGCAAGGGACUCUUUGGCUUCCUUCCUUGUUCUGCAAGUCCCUUACCCACCGGUGGAGGCUCCCACUGUGACCAAACUGCUUUGCAACACCGAGUGGGAACUGGUGAACACCCUCACACCCCAAUCCGUCACUGUGUCAGCGAAAAGCCAAGGGACAACCCAGGCUGGCUGCGUGGGCGCAGGGAACCGUCUGGACAGUUUGCUAGCCCAGGUAGAUCAAUGCCUCUCUGGAGAAGGGAGGCGACGCGGAGGCUCCCACAGUCUUGCCAUCUGUUCUCUGAGAGUUAGCCUCCAUUUCUCUCUUCACGCAAGGACAGCAUCUGUGGAGAGAUCUCUGAUCUCAUUCCUCGAGAUGUCAGUGCAUUUGUUGUCCAGCGUGGCUCCAUCUCACAGACCUUGAUCUUGAAGGAUGCUCCAACCACCUCCUCGGGCGGGCCUGUGGACUGGACUCAGAAAAUCCGGCUGUGUUCUUGUUCCUGUCAAGUCCCAGAAUCCCUUAGGGAGUAGCGCUAUUAGGAGGUGUGACCUUGUUGGAAGAAGUGUGUCGCCGUGGGGGUGGGCUUCGAGAGACCUUCCUCUUAGCUGCCUGGAAGCCAGUCUUCUCCUGUCUGCUUUUUGGAACAAGAUGUAGAACUCUCAGCUCCUCC